AACGGCGAGUGAAGCGGCAACAGCUCAAAUUUGAAAUCUGGCCCUUGGGUCCGAAUUGUAAUUUGUAGAGGAUGAUUUUGGUGCGGUAUCUUCCGAGUUCCUUGGAACAGGACGCCUUAGAGGGUGAGAGCCCCGUACGGUUGAAUGCCUAGCCUCUGUAAAUCUCCUUCGACGAGUCGAGUAGUUUGGGAAUGCUGCUCUAAAUGGGAGGUAAAUUUCUUCUAAAGCUAAAUAUUGGCCAGAGACCGAUAGCGCACAAGUACAGUGAUCGA
rnacentral:rRNA from 1 species